rnacentral:lncRNA from 1 species
AGUAAGCUGUCCAAAGGAGAGAGAGCCAAAGGGAUGAAGGUGGUGGCCCUGACCCUACCCCUCAUGAAGAAUCAAGUGGCCAAAAAGGUGGUGAAUCCUUUUUUUGAUACAAGGCCUAAGAAUUUUAGCAUUGAACGGGUGGUCAUCAGCCCCAAAGAGACCUCAUUCUCUUCAUCAAAUGGCCCCGCCACAUCAGGCUGCAGUGGCAAAGGGCCCUCCUCUAUCAGCAGUUCAAAGAGCCUCCUGCCAUUAACCAGUUCACCAAGGCCCUGGACCGGCAAACAGCUACUCAGCUGCUUAAGCUUGCCCACAAGUACAGGGUGGAGACAGCAGAAGAAGCAGCAAAAGACUUCUGGUCCAUGCUGAGACAAAAGCAGGGGUCAGUAUGGCCACCAUCUUGGUGGCGAACAGGAAGGCUCGGCUGAAGCUGAUCACCCGUGACAUAGGCCCCCAUUGAGUCGGUGGUCUUCCUGCCCAUCCUGUGUAACAAGAUGGGGGUCCCUUAUUGCAUCAUCAAGGGAAAGGCCAGGCUAUGGCAGCUCGUCCACAGGGAGACGUGCACUUCUGUCUCUUCACAUAGGUUAACUUGGAAGAUGGUGGUGUUCUCACUAAUCUGGUGGAAGCUAUCAGGACCAAUUACAAAGACAGACACCGUGACAUCCACCACCACAGAGUAGGCACCAUCCUGGGUCCUAAGUCUGUGGCUCCGAUUGC